GCACUGGCAGUAAGUAAACCGUGGCCUAGUGGUCAAAGGUGCUUAGGAGGCGAUACCCAGGGGAGACGCAGGUUCUAAUCCUGCCGUUUCCGCAAUUUUUGAUAUGUAAUUAAAAUUAUUA